GAGGGGGCGUAGCGCUGUCCGGAACUCAUUGGGUUGGUAAAGGGACGUCGUAGGCGGGCCGGAUCAGUCGGGACGUUAAAUACCCACCGGCUUAACCGUGGAGCUGGUCUCGAUACUGUCGGUCUUGAGUACGGUAGAGGAAAGCGGAAUUCCUGGUGUAGCGGUGAAAUGCGUAGAUAUCAGGAAGAACACCGAAGGCGAAGGCAGCUUUCUGGGCCGAAACUGACGCUGAGGAGCGAAAGCGUGGGUAGCGAACAGGGAUUAGAUACCCUGGUAGUCCACGCCGUAAACGAUGAGUACUUGAUGGUGGGGGAAUCGACCCCCCUUCACUGUCGGAGCUAACGCGUUAAGUACUCCACCUGGGGGACUACGGCCCGCAAGGCUG
rnacentral:rRNA from 1 species